UAUCCGUAGGUGAACCUGAGGAAGGAUCAUUAUUGUAUAACCGAGAUGCGAGGGCUGUCGCUGACCCGAAAGGUCGUGCACGCCCGAGUGCCCUCACACACAUCCAUCUCACCCCUAUGUGCACCACCGCGUGGGUCCCCCUUUGGCUUGUUCGGAGGGGGGCUUACGUUUUCACACAAACUUUGUAUGCAGUGUAGAAUGUAUUUUUUGUUUUUGCGAUCACGCAAUCAAUACAACUUUCAACAACGGAUCUCUUGGCUCUC
rnacentral:misc_RNA from 1 species